ACCUUAAGUACCGACGAUUACAGAGGCGUCUUAAUCCACGUGGGCACAAACUCCAUCCGCAGUAACAGUGAGGAAGAAAUCGUGAAUGAAACACGGAAUCUGAUUAGAUCGGCGAAAUCUGUAUACCCAACAUCCAGGCUGGUAAUUAGUGGAAUUAUUCAUCGAAGAUCGGGUUACACCUUAAACAGGGUAAUGUGUUUCAUGAAUGGCAGACACAUUCAGACCCUGAACAUUUGAAAACAGUUUGCCACAAUGAGUGAUCCUGAAAGUGACAAUAAUAAUGAUAACCACUUUUAUGAUGAAUGGUUACAGAGGAAUUCAAGGGGUGCCAAAGAAACUGUAACUUGUCAAAAGCUCUUCUCACAAACAUAUAGAACUAACAUGCAACAAAUUAAAAAUACAGAAGUACAAAUGAGCACAAUUACAGGAGUGACAAAGGAAUCUUAUCACAGGAAAUUGUAGAAGAAACCAUCUAAUGACAAAGUGACAGCAGAACAUAAACAAGGAGAAAAAAGAGUGAGUGAGACUAACAAAAGAAGAUCAGAGAGCUCAGUGAAAAAGAUGCAAUAAGAGUGGAACAAAAAUCUUGCAAAAGUUGGUAUUAUCUGCAUGCAGAAACAAGACAGAUAAUGAUAAUACUUUAGCAAUUUUUGGUAUAUUAAGAAUAAGAUUUAACAAACACAUAUUUUCU